AUACGGAGGGUGCAAGCGUUAUUCGGAAUCACUGGGCGUAAAGGACGCGUAGGCGGGUUGGCAAGUCAGAUGUGAAAUCCUACAGCUUAACUGUAGAACUGCAUUUGAAACUGCCAACCUAGAGUAUGGGAGGGGGAGAUGGAAUUAGUGGUGUAGGGGUAAAAUCCGUAGAUAUCACUAGGAAUACCGAAAGCGAAGGCGAUCUCCUGGAACAUAACUGACGCUAAGGCGUGAAAGCGUGGGGAGCAAACAGGAUUAGAAACCCUAGUAGUCC
rnacentral:rRNA from 1 species